CAGGCAGGCAGGAUGACACGAUAACAUAGAGCACGCACAGGCGGGAAAGCGAAGUUUUGGGUCGGAUGGCUCAUCACGCGGCGUUCUCCGCGGGAGCGCUCCUCUUCAGUCCAGCCUCGAUGGCGUCCUUGCGCUUCAGCAACUCGAGGUGCACGGUGUGGACGAUGCCGAACAUUCCGCCGAGGGUGGCGGCGAUACCACCGACCGCCGCGAGGUAAGCCAUGACCGGCGAGGGAUACGACGUGGUCACCUUGGUGUAGAGCGGGAACGGAUUGAACUUGACGCCCUUGGCGUUGACGACUUCUUCGCUGUUGACGAUCGAAGUUUUGAUGUCAGAUGCGUCCUUCAUAUCUGACCAGCAGAGGUUUGAGGAGUCCACCGUGCCAACGAUGUCCACCGGGGUGAUUCCCCACUCGUAGAUGACC
rnacentral:lncRNA from 1 species